UGAGUAAUGUCUGGGAAACUGCCUGAUGAGGGGGAUAACUACUGGAAACGGUAGCUAAUACCGCAUAACGUCGCAAGACCAANAGGGGGACCUUCGGGCCUCUUGCCAUCAGAUGUGCCCAGAUGGGAUUAGCUAGUAGGUGGGGUAACGGCUCACCUAGGCGACGAUCCCUAGCUGGUCUGAGAGGAUGACCAGCCACACUGGAACUGAGACACGGUCCAGACUCCUACGGGAGGCAGCAUG
rnacentral:rRNA from 1 species